UACGGAGGGUGCAAGCGUUAAUCGGAAUUACUGGGCGUAAAGCGCACGCAGGUGGCUGAGUCAGUCGAUUGUGAAAGCCCUGGGCUUAACCUGGGAAUUGCAGUCGAUACUACUCAGCUAGAGUAUGGGAGAGGGCAGUGGAAUUCCCGGUGUAGCGGUGAAAUGCGUAGAUAUCGAGAGGAACACCAGUGGCGAAGGCGAGUCCCUGGACAACUCCUGACACUGAGGCACGAAAGCUAGGGGAGCAAACAGG
rnacentral:rRNA from 1 species